CCUACGGGAGACUGCAGUGGGGAAUAUUGGACAAUGGGGGGAACCCUGAUCCAGCCAUGCCGCGUGUGUGAAGAAGGCCCUCGGGUUGUAAAGCACUUUCAGUGAGGAAGAACGCCUGGUGGUUAAUACCCAUCAGGAAAGACAUCACUCACAGAAGAAGCACCGGCUAACUCCGUGCCAGCAGCCGCGGUAAUACGGAGGGUGCGAGCGUUAAUCGGAAUUACUGGGCGUAAAGCGCGCGUAGGUGGCUUGAUAAGCCGGUUGUGAAAGCCCCGGGCUCAACCUGGGAACGGCAUCCGGAACUGUCAAGCUAGAGUGCAGGAGAGGAAGGUAGAAUUCCCGGUGUAGCGGUGAAAUGCGUAGAGAUCGGGAGGAAUACCAGUGGCGAAGGCGGCCUUCUGGACUGACACUGACACUGAGGUGCGAAAGCGUGGGUAGCAAACAGGAUUAGAUACCCCGGUAGUC
rnacentral:rRNA from 1 species